rnacentral:rRNA from 1 species
CCUACGGGAGGCAGCAGUAGGGAAUCUUCCGCAAUGGACGAAAGUCUGACGGAGCAACGCCGCGUGAACGAUGAAGGCCUUCGGGUCGUAAAGUUCUGUUGUUAGGGAAGAACAAGUGCUAGUUGAAUAAGCUGGCACCUUGACGGUACCUAACCAGAAAGCCACGGCUAACUACGUGCCAGCAGCCGCGGUAAUACGUAGGUGGCAAGCGUUGUCCGGAAUUAUUGGGCGUAAAGCGCGCGCAGGCGGUUUCUUAAGUCUGAUGUGAAAGCCCCCGGCUCAACCGGGGAGGGUCAUUGGAAACUGGGAAACUUGAGUGCAGAAGAGGAAAGUGGAAUUCCAAGUGUAGCGGUGAAAUGCGUAGAGAUUUGGAGGAACACCAGUGGCGAAGGCGACUUUCUGGUCUGUAACUGACGCUGAGGCGCGAAAGCGUGGGGAGCAAACAGGAUUAGAUACCCUGGUAGUCCACGCUGUAAACGAUGAGUGCUAAGUGUUAGAGGGUUUCCGCCCUUUAGUGCUGAAGUUAACGCAUUAAGCACUCCGCCUGGGGAGUACGGUCGCAAGACUGAAACUUAAGGAAUUGACG